rnacentral:rRNA from 1 species
GAUGAACGCUGGCGGCGUGCCUAAUACAUGCAAGUCGAGCGAACGGACGAGAAGCUUGCUUCUCUGAUGUUAGCGGCGGACGGGUGAGUAACACGUGGAUAACCUACCUAUAAGACUGGGAUAACUUCGGGAAACCGUAGCUAAUACCGGAUAAUAUUUUGAACCGCAUGGUUCAAAAGUGAAAGACGGUCUUGCUGUCACUUAUAGAUGGAUCCGCGCUGCAUUAGCUAGUUGGUAAGGUAACGGCUUACCAAGGCAACGAUGCAUAGCCGACCUGAGAGGGUGAUCGGCCACACUGGAACUGAGACACGGUCCAGACUCCUACGGGAGGCAGCAGUAGGGAAUCUUCCGCAAUGGGCGAAAGCCUGACGGAGCAACGCCGCGUGAGUGAUGAAGGCCUUCGGAUCGUAAAACUCUGUUAUUAGGGAAGAACAUAUGUGUAAGUAACUGUGCACAUCUUGACGGUACCUAAUCAGAAAGCCACGGCUAACUACGU